rnacentral:rRNA from 1 species
GGUUAAGCGACUAAGCGUACACGGUGGAUGCCCUGGCAGUCAGAGGCGAUGAAGGACGUGCUAAUCUGCGAUAAGCGUCGGUAAGGUGAUAUGAACCGUUAUAACCGGCGAUUUCCGAAUGGGGAAACCCAGUGUGUUUCGACACACUAUCAUUAACUGAAUCCAUAGGUUAAUGAGGCGAACCGGGGGAACUGAAACAUCUAAGUACCCCGAGGAAAAGAAAUCAACCGAGAUUCCCCCAGUAGCGGCGAGCGAACGGGGAGCAGCCCAGAGCCUGAAUCAGUGUGUGUGUUAGUGGAAGCGUCUGGAAAGGCGCGCGAUACAGGGUGACAGCCCCGUACACAAAAAUGCACAUGCUGUGAGCUCGAUGAGUAGGGCGGGACACGUGGUAUCCUGUCUGAAUAUGGGGGGACCAUCCUCCAAGGCUAAAUACUCCUGACUGACCGAUAGUGAACCAGUACCGUGAGGGAAAGGCGAAAAGAACCCCGGCGAGGGGAGUGAAAAAGAACCUGAAACCGUGUACGUACAAGCAGUGGGAGCACGCUUAGGCGUGUGACUGCGUACCUUUUGUAUAAUGGGUCAGCGACUUAUAUUCUGUAGCAAGGUUAACCGAAUAGGGGAGCCGAAGGGAAACCGAGUCUUAACUGGGCGUUAAGUUGCAGGGUAUAGACCCGAAACCCGGUGAUCUAGCCAUGGGCAGGUUGAAGGUUGGGUAACACUAACUGGAGGACCGAACCGACUAAUGUUGAAAAAUUAGCGGAUGACUUGUGGCUGGGGGUGAAAGGCCAAUCAAACCGGGAGAUAGCUGGUUCUCCCCGAAAGCUAUUUAGGUAGCGCCUCGUGAAUUCAUCUCCGGGGGUAGAGCACUGUUUCGGCAAGGGGGUCAUCCCGACUUACCAACCCGAUGCAAACUGCGAAUACCGGAGAAUGUUAUCACGGGAGACACACGGCGGGUGCUAACGUCCGUCGUGAAGAGGGAAACAACCCAGACCGCCAGCUAAGGUCCCAAAGUCAUGGUUAAGUGGGAAACGAUGUGGGAAGGCCCAGACAGCCAGGAUGUUGGCUUAGAAGCAGCCAUCAUUUAAAGAAAGCGUAAUAGCUCACUGGUCGAGUCGGCCUGCGCGGAAGAUGUAACGGGGCUAAACCAUGCACCGAAGCUGCGGCAGCGACGCUUAUGCGUUGUUGGGUAGGGGAGCGUUCUGUAAGCCUGUGAAGGUGUGCUGUGAGGCAUGCUGGAGGUAUCAGAAGUGCGAAUGCUGACAUAAGUAACGAUAAAGCGGGUGAAAAGCCCGCUCGCCGGAAGACCAAGGGUUCCUGUCCAACGUUAAUCGGGGCAGGGUGAGUCGACCCCUAAGGCGAGGCCGAAAGGCGUAGUCGAUGGGAAACAGGUUAAUAUUCCUGUACUUGGUGUUACUGCGAAGGGGGGACGGAGAAGGCUAUGUUGGCCGGGCGACGGUUGUCCCGGUUUAAGCGUGUAGGCUGGUUUUCCAGGCAAAUCCGGAAAAUCAAGGCUGAGGCGUGAUGACGAGGCACUACGGUGCUGAAGCAACAAAUGCCCUGCUUCCAGGAAAAGCCUCUAAGCAUCAGGUAACAUCAAAUCGUACCCCAAACCGACACAGGUGGUCAGGUAGAGAAUACCAAGGCGCUUGAGAGAACUCGGGUGAAGGAACUAGGCAAAAUGGUGCCGUAACUUCGGGAGAAGGCACGCUGAUAUGUAGGUGAAGUCCCUUGCGGAUGGAGCUGAAAUCAGUCGAAGAUACCAGCUGGCUGCAACUGUUUAUUAAAAACACAGCACUGUGCAAACACGAAAGUGGACGUAUACGGUGUGACGCCUGCCCGGUGCCGGAAGGUUAAUUGAUGGGGUUAGCGGUAACGCGAAGCUCUUGAUCGAAGCCCCGGUAAACGGCGGCCGUAACUAUAACGGUCCUAAGGUAGCGAAAUUCCUUGUCGGGUAAGUUCCGACCUGCACGAAUGGCGUAAUGAUGGCCAGGCUGUCUCCACCCGAGACUCAGUGAAAUUGAACUCGCUGUGAAGAUGCAGUGUACCCGCGGCAAGACGGAAAGACCCCGUGAACCUUUACUAUAGCUUGACACUGAACAUUGAGCCUUGAUGUGUAGGAUAGGUGGGAGGCUUUGAAGUGUGGACGCCAGUCUGCAUGGAGCCGACCUUGAAAUACCACCCUUUAAUGUUUGAUGUUCUAACGUUGACCCGUAAUCCGGGUUGCGGACAGUGUCUGGUGGGUAGUUUGACUGGGGCGGUCUCCUCCUAAAGAGUAACGGAGGAGCACGAAGGUUGGCUAAUCCUGGUCGGACAUCAGGAGGUUAGUGCAAUGGCAUAAGCCAGCUUGACUGCGAGCGUGACGGCGCGAGCAGGUGCGAAAGCAGGUCAUAGUGAUCCGGUGGUUCUGAAUGGAAGGGCCAUCGCUCAACGGAUAAAAGGUACUCCGGGGAUAACAGGCUGAUACCGCCCAAGAGUUCAUAUCGACGGCGGUGUUUGGCACCUCGAUGUCGGCUCAUCACAUCCUGGGGCUGAAGUAGGUCCCAAGGGUAUGGCUGUUCGCCAUUUAAAGUGGUACGCGAGCUGGGUUUAGAACGUCGUGAGACAGUUCGGUCCCUAUCUGCCGUGGGCGCUGGAGAACUGAGGGGGGCUGCUCCUAGUACGAGAGGACCGGAGUGGACGCAUCACUGGUGUUCGGGUUGUCAUGCCAAUGGCACUGCCCGGUAGCUAAAUGCGGAAGAGAUAAGUGCUGAAAGCAUCUAAGCACGAAACUUGCCCCGAGAUGAGUUCUCCCUGAC